UACAUUUGCAAGUCCUUUCAUCCAAGGCUCUUGGAGCAAUUAAUAAACACUGCUGCACUGCUGCAACAGAAGAAACAGUUGCUGCAAGAAAUUCUCAGUGAUACUUCUGGAGGGCUUGAAGAACUGUUUGAACUGUCAUGAGGCUGGUACAACUGAGGGCUGGAUGUGAUAUGGAAGGCCAGUGGUGACAGAGGCAAUGCUACAACAUGGGUGUCUGACCACUGGACUCCUGGAAGAAGCACCAUCAUCCCUUCUGUGAAUUAUGAUUGGCAAAAUUCUUCAUCUUGGGAAAGAUCUGAAUGCACAUAGCAACUUGAGUAGACCUCAUUUAUCCUAUUCAAAAAUGCAAGUACUUUAAUUACAACACUGCCUUUCUCCUCAAAUCAUUUUAAUGUGAUAGAAUUUCAAUUUGUGUAGUCUUUCCUCAUAUUAUAGAUAUUUUUAAUCUGAGGUUCAGCUUGUUAGCAUCUGUA
rnacentral:lncRNA from 1 species